CCAACGGCCCUCUUUAGGGCCACAAUUCGAAUGAUUGGGAGGCGUU
rfam:Angiostrongylus costaricensis strain Costa Rica genome assembly, scaffold: ACOC_contig0000945